rnacentral:lncRNA from 1 species
UUCUUCUUAUUCUUUAACUUAAAGCAAUAAUGCAUGAUAAUGUAUAUAUUUGCAAGACCAAGAUCAUCUAUUAAUUUGGCUAAUUUUAUCAUACAAAUAAUUUCAUCAUAUAAUAAAUAGAUUAUAUCAUAUAGAUAUACAAUAUAGAUUUCAGCAUAUAAUAAAUAUUCUCACUGAAGGAGAAGCAGCACUGAGCUAUCCAUGGAGUGGCUCAACAUAUUUUAAAACAUAAAGUGAACAAGUGUCAUUCAGAGUUUUCAUUUAAAUUUGCAUUGUUGGAGGGGAUAUUAGAUCCAAGCUCACAUUAACUGUUGAGACUGUAAACAACUUUACUCAAAUAGAACAAAAAAGGGGGGUGGACAGAACUACCUUGCAAACAUUUUUUUCCGUCAUUUAUUUCUUCCCCGUGUUUAUUUUUCCAGUCUCCCUGAAUUGCCAUCAUGUCAUGAAAAAUACUUUGUUUUAAACUUAAUGGAAUGGAUUGUCAUUUUGGUGGAUUUUUGCCAGUGAAGAAUUUAUCAGACUCAAUAGCCUCCAUCACUUGGCAGGACAGAAAGGCCUCGAAAGCCUCUUUCAGUAUCUCUGAGCAUACCUAACAUUUAGAAAGGUAGGCCUGUGUAGCAAGUGUGAAAGUGUUCCUCUCCAUGCCCUUACGGCUUUACUCAACCAUGUUUCCUCUUUUAUCAUUUAUUGGAAAAACCUUUUACUAUCUCUUCUUACUUCCUUUCCUUUGUUAGCUACAAAGGGAAGAUUUUCUUUUGCAAAUCCUUAGUAAUUAAAUGAGCACUUCAGUGGCUGUAGCCCUCAAUGGCCUGUUUCCUAGGUUUUGCCUUUGACAGUCAUAUUUUGCAAAGGCCCCUGAGAUGACUCUGCAUCUUCCCCUACUCAACGCUAAACCAACUGAAGCCCGUGCUCACUGCAUGAAGGAGGAAAAGAUUCAUUAAGGGCACUUCAUUAAGAGGCUGAAAUGGGAAGCUCUAAAUGCGCCUGAACCAACUACAAUCCAGAGAAGCUGUCUAUUAGGAGUGCCACAAAGACAGUUUCGGAAGCUAAACUCCAGCUCCAGUGCAUCGGAUUAGGAAGAGUGAUGGGAUUAGUGUUUAAUGACUUGGGGCAGGAGACAAAGGGAAUUUCGACAAAGAGGCUUAGAUAUGGAAGAAUUAACACUCUGUAUUCCAACCAGGCCUCUGAUGACUUCCAGCAUUCUUUUCAGACUCAAAAGCCAAGGGAAGGGAAUAAAAAAAAAAAAAAGAUGUGCAAAGCUUUAAUACUUUUCUAACUUUUUUUAUUGCAACAACAAUACAGAGGAAAUAAAAGAACCCUAUUCACUCCUUUGGACUUGAAACCUCUUUUAAAAAUAAGCAUCUACAAUUGUAUAAUUAGCCCCAAGGUGAGCUUGCCCAGGGCCUCAAACAUGUGCCAGAAUGCUUCUCUGCUUCCUAAUGCUAGGGCAAGUCACAAACUGAUGUGGACACUAAAGCAAAACCUAUGGUAGCAGAGGCCCAGCUAAGUGGCUGUACAAGAUUUUUUUCUCUCCAUGGCUGUUUAUGUUACAGGUGCAACUGAAGGAACAGAGAAACUGUGUAAUUGUAAAACCUCCUUGUGGCCCCACAUGGCUCAUACUCAAAUGAUUCCAGUGUCUAUGGCCUGAGAAGUGCUUCAUGAAAUGAGGAACAGUGCCUCAAGUCAGAGAUUGGCAUGGUGAGUCGCCGGGAGGUGGAAAAGAGGCACAGCUUCAUUGAAGCUACAGUUGGCUGCAAGGAACCAUUUCAAAUCAUCUUAGUUCUACGGGGCCAUUCAGGUGGCAAAGGCCCAGGUAACAUUUGAUCAAGUUGCUACAGGGCUUGGACCUACUUUUAUUGCCCCUUACUUUUCCCACUAACAUUUUUGCUUGAAAUAUCGAUGUUUUUUUGGUGCAGCAAAACUCUUUUCCCACAGCUAAAUUGAAGUAGGGCAUAUGUGCUUCCCUCACCUCGCUCCCAGUCCCUCUUGACCCCGAAAUGGUCUAGCAGCCUGUGCUUUGUUAAACUGAAAAUGUGUAGAAAUUUUUAUAGAGAUAUUCAGCUAUAUAAAUAGCUUUGAAAUUUGUCAUAACUUUAAAAACAGGUCAAAAAGGAAAUUGAACAGCUAGUGAGUUUCUGUCUUAGUCCGUUUUGUGCUGCUAUAACAGAAUACCAUAAACUAGGUAAUUUAUAAACAAUAGAAGUUUAUUUGUCUCAAUGGCCAACAAGCAUAUGGAAAAAUGUUCAACAUCACUAAUUAUCAGGGAAAUACAAAUCAAAACCACAGUGCGAUACCACGUAACUUCUGCAAUAAUGGUCAUAAUCAAAAAAUAAUAAUAAAUAAAUAGAUGUUGGCAUGGAUAUGGUGAAAAGGGAACACUUUUACUGGGUUGGUGGGAAUGUAAACUAGCACAACCACUAUAGAAAACAGUAUGGAGACUCCUUAAAGAACUAAAAGUAGACCUACCAUUUGACCUAGCAACCCCACUGCUAUGUAUCUGCUCAGAAGUAAAGAAGUCAUUAUACAAAAAAGACACUUGUUACAUGCAUGUAUAUAGCAGUACAAUUGCCCAAAUGCCCAUCAAUCAAUGAGUGGAUAAAAAAUGUUAUAUACAUACAUAUAUGUGUGUGUAUAUAUACAUAUACAUAUACACACACACACACAUACACACACACACACACACACACACACAUAUACCAUGGAAUACUGCUCAGCCAAAGAAAGGAAUGAAAUAAUGGGAUUUGCAGCAACCUGGAUGGAAUUGGAGGCUAUUAUUCUAAGUGAAGUAACUCAGGAAUAGAUAACCAAACAUACAUGUUCUCACUCAUAUGUGGGAACUAAGCUAUGAGAAUGCAAAGGCAUAAGAAUGAUAUAUUGGAGUUUGGAGACUCAAAGGAAAGAGUGGGGGAGAGGGAGGGAUAAAAGACUACACAUUGGGUACAGUAUACAAUGCUUGAGUGAUGGGUGCAACAAAAUCUCAGAAAUCCCCACUAAUGAGCAUAUUCAUGUAACAAAAUACCAUCUGUUCCCCAAAACUUAUUGAAAUAAAAAAUAAAAAAUUAAUGAUAAUAACAAUAAAAAGAAGUUUAUUUGUCUUAUGUUUCUGGAGGCCAGGAAGUCCAAGAUCAAGGGGUUGCAUCUAGUGGGGGUCUUCUUGCUGAGUCAUAACCUGGCAGAAGACAUCACAUGAAGAGAGAAUGGAUGAGAGCCAGCAAGCAAGAGAGGGCCAAACUUGCUUUUAUAACAAACCCAUUCCUGACAUCAUGAACUUACCCCUGCCAUAAUGACAUUAAUCCAUUCCAGGGGGCAAAGCUCUCAUGACCUAAUCACCUCUCAAAAGUGCCACCUCUCGAUGCUGUUGCAUUGGGGAUUAAGUUUCCAACACAUGAACUCUGGGGAGAUGCAUUCAAACCUUAGCAGUUUAA